GUCCACGCCGUAAACGAUGGAUGCUAGCCGUUGGCAGGCUUGCCUGUCAGUGGCGCAGCUAACGCAUUAAGCAUCCCGCCUGGGGAGUACGGUCGCAAGAUUAAAACUCAAAGGAAUUGACGGGGGCCCGCACAAGCGGUGGAGCAUGUGGUUCAAUUCGAAGCAACGCGAAGAACCUUACCAACCUUUGACAUGUCCCGUAUGGGCACCAGAGAUGGAGCCCUUCAGUUCGGCUGGCGGGAACACAGGUGCUGCAUGGCUGUCGU
rnacentral:rRNA from 1 species